rnacentral:misc_RNA from 1 species
UUCCAAAGGGCAUGCCUGUUCGAGCGUCAUUUGUACCCUCAAGCUUUGCUUGGUGUUGGGCGUUUUUUUGUCUUUGGUUAUGCCAAAGACUCGCCUUAAAACGAUUGGCAGCCGGCCUCCUGGUUUCGCAGCGCAGCACAUUUUUGCGCUUGCAAUCAGCAAUAGAGGGCGGCACUCCAUCAAGACACUUUUUUUCACGUUUGACCUCGGAUCAG